rnacentral:rRNA from 1 species
AGUGAACGCUGGCGGCAGGCCUAACACAUGCAAGUCGAGCGGCAGCGCGUCCGACCACCCUCGGGUGGUCGGAUGGCGGCGAGCGGCGGACGGGUGAGGAAUGCAUCGGAAUCUGCCUCGUUGUGGGGGAUAACGUAGGGAAACUUACGCUAAUACCGCAUGCGACCUACGGGUGAAAGUGGGGGACCUUCGGGCCUCACGCGAUGAGAUGAGCCGAUGCCGGAUUAGCUAGUUGGCGGGGUAAAGGCCCACCAAGGCGACGAUCCGUAGCUGGUCUGAGAGGAUGAUCAGCCACACUGGAACUGAGACACGGUCCAGACUCCUACGGGAGGCAGCAGUGGGGAAUAUUGGACAAUGGGGGGCAACCCUGGUCCAGCCAUGCCGCGUGUGUGAAGAAGGCC